GUCGACGGCCACGCCACCCUGAACGAGCCUGAUGUCUGAUCUCAGAAGCUAAGCAGGGUUGGGCCUGGUUAGUACUUGGAUGGGAGGCCACCUAGGAAGACCAGGUGCUGUAGGCG
rnacentral:rRNA from 1 species